CACGUAGGGUGCGAGCGUUGUCCGGAAUUAUUGGGCGUAAAGAGCUCGUAGGCGGUGUGUCGCGUCGGCCGUGAAAACCUGCAGCUUAACUGUGGGCUUGCGGUCGAUACGGGCAUCACUGGAGUUCGGCAGGGGAGACUGGAAUUCCUGGUGUAGCGGUGAAAUGCGCAGAUAUCAGGAGGAACACCGGUGGCGAAGGCGGGGUCUCUGGACAGUUCCUGACACUGAGG
rnacentral:rRNA from 1 species